rnacentral:rRNA from 1 species
AUUGAAUGCUGGCGGCAUGCCUUACACAUGCAAGUCGAACGGUAACAGGUCUUCGGAUGCUGACGAGUGGCGAACGGGUGAGUAAUACAUCGGAACGUGCCCGAUCGUGGGGGAUAACGCAGCGAAAGCUGUGCUAAUACCGCAUACGAUCUACGGAUGAAAGCGGGGGAUCGCAAGACCUCGCGCGGACGGAGCGGCCGAUGGCAGAUUAGGUAGUUGGUGGGAUAAAAGCUUACCAAGCCGACGAUCUGUAGCUGGUCUGAGAGGACGACCAGCCACACUGGGACUGAGACACGGCCCAGACUCCUACGGGAGGCAGCAGUGGGGAAUUUUGGACAAUGGGGGAAACCCUGAUCCAGCCAUGCCGCGUGCAGGAUGAAGGCC